rnacentral:rRNA from 1 species
GCGUGAGGGAGGAGGCUCUUGGGUCGUAAACCUCUUUUCUCAGGGAAGAACACAAUGACGGUACCUGAGGAAUAAGCAUCGGCUAACUCCGUGCCAGCAGCCGCGGUAAUACGGAGGAUGCAAGCGUUAUCCGGAAUGAUUGGGCGUAAAGCGUCCGCAGGUGGCGAUGUAAGUCUGCUGUUAAAGAGUCUAGCUCAACUAGAUAAGAGCGGUGGAAACUACAUAGCUAGAGUACGUUCGGGGCAGAGGGAAUUCCUGGUGUAGCGGUGAAAUGCGUAGAGAUCAGGAAGAACACCGGUGGCGAAGGCGCUCUGCUAGGCCGUAACUGACACUGAGGGACGAAAGCUAGGGGAGCGAAUGGGAUUAGAUACCCCAGUAGUCCUAGCCGUAAACGAUGGAUACUAGGCGUGGCUUGUAUCGACCCGAGCCGUGCCGUAGCUAACGCGUUAAGUAUCCCGCCUGGGGAGUACGCCGGCAACGGUGAAACUCAAAGGGAAUUGACGGGGGCCCGCACAAGCGGUGGAGUAUGUGGUUUAAUUCGAUGCAACGCGAAGAACCUUACCAAGGCUUGACAUGUCGCGAAUCUCGGUGAAAGCUGAGAGUGCCUUCGGGAGCGCGAACACAGGUGGUGCAUGGCUGUCGUCAGCUCGUGUCGUGAGAUGUUGGGUUAAGUCCCGCAACGAGCGCAACCCUCGUUUUUAGUUGCCAGCAUUAAGUUGGGCACUCUAGAGAGACUGCCGGUGACAAACCGGAGGAAGGUGGGGAUGACGUCAAGUCAGCAUGCCCCUUACGCCUUGGGCUACACACGUACUACAAUGCUCCGGACAAAGGGCAGCUACACAGCGAUGUGAUGCAAAUCUCAUAAACCGGAGCUCAGUUCAGAUCGCAGGCUGCAACUCGCCUGCGUGAAGGAGGAAUCGCUAGUAAUUGCAGGUCAGCAUACUGCAGUGAAUUCGUUCCCGGGCCUUGUACACACCGCCCGUCACACCAUGGAAGCUGGUAGUGCCCGAAGUCAUUACUCCAACCCUUCGGGGAGGAGGAUGCCUAAGGCAGGACUGGUGACUGGGGUGAAGUCGUAACAAGGUAGCCGUACCGGAAGGUGUGGCUGGAUCACCUCCU